CAGCCCUCGGAGCGCCGGGCCCCGGCUCCCCCAGGGCUCCCAAAGCUUACUUUGGUUUGUUUGCCCCCCUUCCGCUGAGGAAGGCGAGUUGAAGCGUGCAGGAGGUGUGUAGGCCUGCGACAACAAACGGAUCCAUUAAGGAGUAAUUGAUAGGGGGGAGCUCAGUCUCACGGGGAAAUAAAAUUGUGGGCGUUUUUAGGACAACCUUCCCUGUAAUCCUUAUUUUUAAUACGCUCCGAGCCAUAUCCUUCCUGCUGUUAUCUGGGAGAGAUCUUUCCUGGAUACACCUGAUUAAUUGAUGCUUACAAAGGCAUAACUGAUUCUUCAUGAUGGCGAAACAACUAAACGUGCUUUCUUGUACAUCCUCUUUGCUGAGCGGUUACCUGGUUAAUCUUUCCAGGAUCACACUCAGCUGUGCAACUGGCUCUGCUCUGAAAUUGCCUGUAGAGCUUUUUCAAGGUGGUGUGGCUCUCUUUCUGGGAAAGUUCACGACAGAGAGCAUUUAGGGAAAACACAACGGAAGAUGGAUGAAAUCUUGGUGGUUCAAUCAAAUUUUUUACUUCAACUGUGAGGGGUGUCCCAAAUAUUUGGUACUCAUGUGCAACAGAGUGGUGGAAUGCAGCUACAUUCCUGACACCAAUCAUCAGUGAGUGAGUCCGCAUGUGUUCAAAAUCCAGCUCCUAAAAGAUCCCGUAAAUACAGUUUGUGCAAAUACAGGAGGGUUAUCAUUUAUAUCCAGGACUCUGACUCGAAGUUCCAGAGGUGGUUCCAAAUCUAUACCGGUCACUGAGUGUUUAGCAAAGCAACGUAUCUAAACAGAGAGAUUUACUCAUUUUAAAACCAAAAGGGGUUUCCCAGGAUGAGAGAAAGAGAAAAGAAAAAUGUCACUGGUUGGAGCUGCCUGGGAAGUAGUUUCAUGGAAAUGUUCUAGGAAGCCUCUGGUUACUCCUCAGCAGCCACAUGGAUUCACCUUAUGAAACUGUCUCAGCAGAGCUGGGAAUGUUCCAACAUCUUUCUUUUAUUCUACAUUCUGUGCUUUUACUACUCUAAGCAUACGUAUUUUUAAAUCUCUCUGCUUUUAUCAGUGUAUCUUUGGCAAAACUUCCUUGUCAGUGAAUACUUGUGUUUUUCUUUCUACUUACUCUG